CACACACUCACACAGAGACAGUCCCACACUCACAGGCAGUCACACACUCACACAGAGACAGUCACACACUCACAGACAGUCACACACAGACAGUCACACACAGACAGUCAUACACUCACACAGAGACAGUCAUACACUCACAGACAGUCAUACACUCACAGACAGUCAUACACUCACAGACAGUCACACACUCACACAGACAGUCACACACUCACACAGACAGUCACACACUCACAGGCAGUCUCACACAGACAGUCACACACUCACAGAGACAGUAACACACUCACACACAGUCACACACUCACACAGAGACAGUCACACACUCACACAGAGACAGUCACACAGAGACAGUCCCACACUCACAGGCAGUCACACACUCACACAGAGACAGUCCCACACUCACAGGCAGUCACACACUCACACAGAGACAGUCCCACACUCACAGGCAGUCACACACUCACACAGAGACAGUCCCACACUCACAGGCAGUCCCACACUCACACAGAGACAGUCACACACUCACAGGCAGUCACACAC